UACGUAGGGAGCCAGCGUUGUCCGGAUUUACUGGGCGUAAAGAGCGCGUAGGCGGUUUAGUAAGCGGAGGGUGAAAUCCCGGGGCUCAACUCCGGGGCUGCUCUCCGAACUGCUAGACUAGAGUACGGGAGAGGAUAGUGGAAUUCCUGGUGUAGCGGUGGAAUGCGUAAAUAUCAGGAGGAACACCCGUGGCGAAGGCUGCUAUCUGGAACGUUACUGACGCUGAGGCGCGAAAGCUAGGGGAGCGAACGGGAUUAGAUACCCCGGUAGUCCUAGCUGUAAACGAUGGACACUAGGUGUUGGAGGCAUCGACCCCUUCAGUGCUGUUCUGCUAACGCGUUAAGUGUCCCGCCUGGGGAGUACGGCCGCAAGGUUGAA
rnacentral:rRNA from 1 species